rnacentral:lncRNA from 10 species
GCCUGAGAACAGAAUGUAAAACCAAUGGAGGGCCCAGGAAGGCAAAUGGAAAAUGAUUAUUGAACAAGCUGAAAACUGCCAAAAAACAUAAACUCUCACUUUGAAACCAUCAUCUGACUGAAAUGGAGAACUGUAAAACUGAGAAUAAUGAUCCUAAAACAACCAAAGUAUAUGUACAAUGCGGAUGACCAGAGGAUAUCGCGAUAUCGAGAGAGGAAGGCCAGGAGGCUUUUCCAAUUUGGAGGCACAAAUAAGUGAGAACUUGGGGAUCCACUGAGGUCUGAGGCACGGUGGUACCAGAGGAGAUGAAGGGGCUUUCAGCAUGAAGCUGGUCCCCUGUCGACAGCACGCUGAUUUUCCCGUUGGGCUCUAUCAGCAUGUCCACUGUGAGACCAUGCUUGUGAAAAUACCAGGACGGUAAAUUAGUGAAUUCCAAAGUCAGGAUUUUUGUUGGAUCUGGCACAGUCACAGGAAAGUCUGAGUUUUCUCAAGGGCAUCCCUGUCUCACCGAGGGGCACCAAGGACAGACGACCAGAAGCAAAUGGCGCAGUCACCGUCAGAGGAGAGUAAAACUCAUUCUGAAACGGUUCCAAAUGCCCAUGCCUGCUCUGUGGUUUUCAGCAAAGCGGACCUUUCCAAAAGACCUCCAACAGGGACUUCCUGGAUGUGAGAACACUAACCAAUUCUCGUUCCUCUCAUCUUUUGCUUUAUUCCUUCCUUCCAUGCUGUUAUUGCGAAAAACUGGUAGUUAAAUUCAAUUGAUUCAAAAUAUUCGGGAUCCAUAUGGCCGCCAACCCUGGAGCUGAAGCGGCGAUAGCGCCUCACUGCUGUUUUCAAGCAUUUGCCUCUCCUCCAGUCCCCAGAUGGUGGGAGUAACAUUUAAACCUCCUUUUCUCUGCCUUGUACAAUAGACCUUGGCACCAUUUCAACUGUUUACUCCGGUAAUUAACAGCUCUGAUACCACAACAAUUACAACUCCUACACUCUCACCACAAUAAUGCUAUGAAUUAGUGAGAGCUAAUGGCUGGAAGGUAGAGUGUUUCCAGACUGUGGGAUCUGUGCAUUUUUAGAAUAAAAUAAAAGGUACAAACAGCACGCUUGCAGUAGACAAUGAUUACCUAGUAAUUAGUUUACACAAAGCUUCCUAUUUAAUGGCAAAACGCUGUAAUUAACGUGUGACAGAAAAUCAAAGGGUACUUUGUAAGCAUAUUAAAAAUUAACACUGCAGGCCCAUAGCUUUAUGUACUGAUUAGAAGCAUAUUAAAUCAAUAGGACACACAAACCAACAGCUUGGGUAGCUGAUUAUUAUAGGUCCUCAGAAGGGGUACCCUGGCUUUCAUUUCACUUGGGGAGGCAAUUUUCCUUCUCCUGUCAUCUUCCUCAGGCACAGAGAAACACCUCAAACUCAACCCUGGCAGCUUCAUGAAAAUAACCACUGAACUGGAAGAAAACAUUCUAAGUCAUUCUCAGAGAUGAAGACAAAUAUGUAAAUGAUUAAGACUUUCCAAUGAUUGUGGUGACGUGCUGCUACACUAAUUAGAAAAUACACCAACUGGAACCAGAAAAUAAAGCCACUGGGUUGCAAUCUUCCGGUCAGAAUAAUCUCUACUUUGUCAAGCCUCUUUAUUCAACUCAUAGAAAGUUCAAAUAAAUGGAACUGUUUUAUAUUUCUAAAUGAUAAGAAAGCAGGCUGCUAUGAAGACUUAUUCUUUCCAAGGCACUGUCUGGGUAAAGCAUAGGCUGGGAACAACUGGAUCAACCAACAUUCUGUAUCUUCAACAGCCACAACCCCAUAUAAUGAUGGCUGAUGGACAUAGACAGCAAUAUCCUGGAAGCCUACCAGAGCCUAAAGAACCUUCUGAAUCACCAAAGAAAGAUUAAGUUGUAUGUACUUGUUCAAUGUUACCUGUAUUUUGUUAUAAUACAAUUUUAUGGUAAUAAUAACAACAAUAAUAAUAGGUAGCAUUUCUUAAAGUCUUAUUAUGUGCUAAGCACACUGCUAGCCAAUUCAUAGAAUUAUCUCAUUUACUUGUCACCACUUCCCCAUGAGACAGGUACUAAUCUCUCUUUACAGAUAGAGAAAGGGAGACUUGGAGAGCUGAAGUAAUUUGCCUAUAGUUAUCCCCCAGGGAGCAUGGGAGUCUAACCUAGGUGUCCCUGGCUAUGGAACCCCAGGAAGCCAAACUACCUCUUAGUUACCCUGAAUGACUAGCCUGUUCCAACACUCAUUCUGCUUAAAAGGCAGUUUACUAUGUCAACCUGGAAUAGGAGACUAAAAAAAUUAAAACAAAAACAAAAUAUUUGGUUGCUUAUUUUUUUAAAAAACAGGGUGUUUCUGCUUUUAGAGAUAGGAGUCUUGUUCUGUCACCCAGGCUGGAGAGUGGUGGUGCAGUCAUGACUCAUUGCAGCCUCAAACUCCUGGGCUCGAGUGAUCCUCUUUCUUCAGGCUCCUAAGUAGCUGGAACUACAGGCACACACCUAAUUUUUAAAUUUUUUGUAGAGAUAGGGUCUCACUAUAUUGCCCAGGCUGGUCUUGAACUCCUGGCCUCAAGCCAACUCCCACCUCAGCCUUCCAAAGUGUUGGGAUUACAAAAUAUUACAGGAGUGAUCGACUGCACUGGGCUAAAAACAAGGGUUUUAAAUGCUUACCAUAUUUUUAAUGCUACAUCUGAUUGUGAAGGUGGGCUACUCAAAGCUUUUUGGGAAUUUACAGGCUCACUAAAAUGAUCACGAUAGUGUAUUAAAUUGAGAAAGGCAUUGAAAAUCUGUCAUUCCCAUGAACAACCAAAGGGUGAUGUCUAAAAUUCUCUCUCAUCACCCAUGCACAUAACCAGGUAUAUGAGGCAGUUGGGUUGCAAGAGCUGAAUCCUAGAAACUCCUAGGCAGGGCUCCUCCUCUCCAGCUCUGAGGUGUGUGUAUUGAUGGCCCCCUACACCUCCCAGUUUGCUGCCUUGUGGGAAAAGGAGACCAGCUCUUCUGUUAUCUAGGAAAGGGAAGAAAUUUGAGAGCAGUGGCCUCUGUGUUCCAGGAAUAUUUGCGUUUCCCACAAAUCUCUGGAAAGCAGAAAGCUUGCCACAAGGGCAGCACACGGUAUGAGUCACAAAGGCAAGGACCUGAGGGAGAACACUUCCCAGGACUUUCAAAUAAGGUCUUUCCUAAAUGUACUUGGCUCAGUGUGGCAAAAGCACUGGGCUAGCAGCAGUCAGAUGUGGGUUCAAAGCAAGGCACAAUCAUUUAUUAGCUAUAAAUUUGGGCAAGUCACUUCUUGAGAAUAAGUUUCUUCAUCUGUAAACAGAAGUAAUACCUUCCUUAUAUCUUAAAUUGGUGUGGAAGUAAAUGAGUAAAAACCUCAGGGUUUUUCUGAGUUUAAAUGAGACAAUUCAUGUAACGUGCUUAGCACAAUACCUGGUACCCAGUAGGUACUCUGCAGUAUUUAUUGAUGAUGAUGAUGAUGAUGAUGAUGAUGAUGAUGAUGACAAAGAAAUACAAGGAAAUGUCAACACCUUAACAGUGCAUUCAUAGAUCUACAAAAUGCUUAAUCUCAGUGUUCUGGCAACCACUAAAUACAUAAAGAUAAUCUAAGACAUCAAGAUUUCAACAUAUAAAAAUAAAUAUAAAAACAAGUGAACAAUAAUCAUUUAUAUGUAGUUUCAUGACUGGAAAAAAUAAUAACCUAGAUUUUUUCUUAACCUAGAAAAUCUAGAUUAAAAAAUAAAGAUCUUGCAUUUUUGAUAUAAAACACAAAUAAUAAGGACAUGAAAAAAGAAUAUCCCUUGCUAGUAAUCAAAUAAUAGCAAUGAGAAGCUGGAUUCUUAUAUCUAAAAUAAAAGUGCAAAUAGUUCAUAAUAUCCAUUGGUGGUAAGGUUGUGGUAAAACUAGUAUUCUUAUUCUCUGCCAGUUGCUUUGGAAAUUGGUACUAUCUUUUUAGGAAUAUGGCAAUAUGUAACAAAAGCCAUAAAAUAUUCUACUCCUGGGUCUUUCUCCUCGGGAAGUAACUCAACAGAAGCAAAAAGAGGUGUAUACAAAAACCAAAUAUAAAAACAAACAAAUCUUUCCUCCCUCUUUCCUCCCACUGCCAAAAAAUGAAAGCUGGGAAUAGCCUAAAUUUCCAACUUAGUUGAAUUGUUCAAUAUAUUAGAGUUCAUCAAUAUGAGAGAAUAUUAUGCAUCUAAUAAUUGUGACGACUAUGUAUAAACAUGGAAAAUAUUUAAGAUCUGAUGUUUAACUAGCAUAUACACUAUUAUUGUAGCUAUGAGAAAGAAAUACUGCAUAUUUAGAAAUUAAUAUACAAAAAUGAAAACAACUAUGUUUGGGGACAGUGAUUAUGUACUUUUAAAUUUUUUUUAAUCUUGUUAUCUUUAAACUUUUCUAAAAAUGAUGUGAUUACAAGCAAUGGCUCUUUGGGAUCACCUAAUAAAUACCUACUAAAUUCUAGACGGGACAACGAGCUCUGCCAUCCUGCAAUGGCUCCUGUGACCUAGUUCCAGGGCCAUUCUGAAUGGACAGAGGUCUUCACAAUGGAGGUGGAGAUGCAGGGAGCUCUAUGGCAUGAAAUGGUUAAUGAUUCUCUUUUGUAAUUGUGUUUUCUGUUUGCUGCCUUAGUUCUAAAAGGAGGCAAAACAACUGUGGUUUAUUCUACCUUUUCCAGGCAUAGUUCUUCUCCUACCUUUGUGAUCCCCAAAUUAAUAUCAAAUGUCUAAUUAGUUUUUUUCUCCAUUGGUGAUCCCCAAAUUAAUAUCAAAUGUCAGACAAAGUAAAUCAAAGUACAAAUAAAGGUAAAACUGCUCUUGCAAAGGGCUAAAAUAGCAAUGUUUACUAGAAGCAUUCAAGAGCCAGUUCAAUUUCCUAUUUCUCAUUAAGUGGUAAAAUAGUAAUGCCAAGACCACAUCCCAGAAUCUCCAGGGUAACAGAGGCCCAACGAAGGGCUGCAGAGAAACUUGAAAGUAAACUGGCUUAGUUCUUUACACACAGAAAUUGUUCUACAAAGAUCUCUUGCAAAGCAGUGUCACCAGUAGCAUCACUGCCACUAAGCCAAUGUCCCAGGAAUUGAGGAAAGGAAGACACCCUUAAAGAAAAAAAUGGAAAAAAGCCACAAGGACUGGUACCACAGUAAAUGUCUGCCUGGGUCUCCCUAAACUGUCUUAGGUGAGCUUACCCAGGAAUGUUUCUCCCCUACAUGUUUGCCUUCCUUUGUUUAAGCCUUUAUUCCUCCUAAAUGAAAAUAAAUACCCCCGACUGGGGAACGUGGAGUUUGGAGUGUGUGCAAGAGUGUGGAUUCAUUAAAACUUAACGAGCAGAGUACUUAAGUGAAUGAGUUUACUGGAACUUGUUGGGGGAAGUAGGUUUUGUUAGCUGGU